ACGGAGGGUGCAAGCGUUAAUCGGAAUUACUGGGCGUAAAGCGUGCGUAGGCGGUAAGUUAAGUCUGCUGUGAAAUCCCUGGGCUCAACCUGGGAAUGGCGGUGGAUACUGGCUUGCUGGAGUACGGUAGAGGAAGGUGGAAUUCCCGGUGUAGCGGUGAAAUGCGUAGAGAUCGGGAGGAACAUCAGUGGCGAAGGCGACCUUCUGGACCAGUACUGACGCUGAGGCACGAAAGCGUGGGGAGCAAACAGGAUUAGAUACCCUGGUAGUCCACGCCCUAAACGAUGCGAACUGGAGGUUGGGUGCAACUUGGCACGCAGUCUCGAAGCUAACGCGUUAAGUUCGCCGCCUGGGGAGUACGGUCGCAAGACUG
rnacentral:rRNA from 1 species